GCAAAUCAGGGAAUAGAGAAAAAAAAGUAAAUGUCCUGGGACAAAGUUCCAUUACUCUGACAAUGGCAGUACAUUAUAUAUGCUGUGUCUCUUUCUGUUUUGUAGAGAAACCUAAAGGCAUAUAUGCCAGAAAUGCUUGCCACAAGCCAUCUGGGUAGAAAUACUUAUUUGCCUCUAAAAAGUUUAAGAAAACAAAAAGUGCCCAAUUUUAUUUAAUGUAGAAUGCAUGCACUGCUUUGAACUUAGCAUAACUUGAAUGUAUAUCAAAAUAAAACAAAGAAAUAGGCAAGAGUUUCCUGCUUAUAAAUUAUUAUUUGUUGCACAAUUGAGUGGAAGACACAGAGAUUUUUUAUAUAUCUCCUACUCCCACACAGGCAUAGCCUUUCUAUUAUCAACAUUCUCUACCAGUUAUCACCCAACUUCAUUGUUUACAUUAGAACUCACUCUUGAUAUUGAAUAUUCUGCAGAUUUGGAUUUGUGUGUGUGGGUGUGUGUGAUGACAUAUACACCACUAUAAUAUCAUACAGAGUAUAUUCACUGCCAUAGAAAUCCCCUCA
rnacentral:lncRNA from 1 species